UACGAGGGGGGCAAAUGUUGUUCGGAAUCACUGGGCGUAAAGGGAGCGUAGGCGGGUUUUUAAGUCAGGUGUUUAAUCCCGGGGCCCAACCCCGGACAGGCACUUGAAACUGGGAAUCUUGAAUAGUGGAGAGGUCAGUGGAAUUGGGGGUGUAGCGGUGGAAUGCGCAGAUAUCGGGAGGAACACCGGUGGCGAAGGCGGUUCUCUGGGCCUUACCUGACGCUGAGGAGCGAAAGCGUGGGGAGCGAACAGG
rnacentral:rRNA from 1 species